AUUGAACGCUGGCGGCAUGCUUUACACAUGCAAGUCGAACGGUAGCAGGCCUUCGGGUGCUGACGAGUGGCGAACGGGUGAGUAAUGCAUCGGAACGUACCCAGAGGUGGGGGAUAACGCAGCGAAAGCUGUGCUAAUACCGCAUGUGAUCUGAGGAUGAAAGCGGGGGACCGAGCAGCAAUGUUUGGCCUCGCGCCUUUGGAGCGGCCGAUGUCGGAUUAGCUAGUUGGUGGGGUAAAGGCCUACCAAGGCGACGAUCCGUAGCUGGUCUGAGAGGACGACCAGCCACACUGGGACUGAGACACGGCCCAGACUCCUACGGGAGGCAGCAGUGGGGAAUUUUGGACAAUGGGCGCAAGCCUGAUCCAGCAAUGCCGCGUGCGGGAAGAAGGCCUUCGGGUUGUAAACCGCUUUUGGCAGGAACGAAACGGUGUCCGCUAAUACCGGGCGCUAAUGACGGUACCUGCAGAAGAAGCACCGGCUAACUACGU
rnacentral:rRNA from 1 species